rnacentral:tRNA from 1 species
UAGCUCAGUUGGUAGAGCAUGGUGUUUGCAACGCCAGGGUUGUGGGUUCGACUCCCAC